rnacentral:rRNA from 1 species
AGUGAACGCUGGCGGUGGGCCUAAUACAUGCAAGUCGAACGGACAGACAGUAAGAGUGUGCCUUUACGGGUGGCGAGUGGCGGAUGGGUGAGGAAUAGAUCGGAAACUACUUUUUCGUGGGGGAUAACGGAGGGACAGAUACACUACUAGCGCAUACAAUCAACGGGUGAAAUCAGUGGAUCUUCGGACCUUUCGUGAUUCAAUUAGCCGAUGUCGGGUUAGAUAGUUGGCGGGGUAAAGGCCCACCAAGGCGACGAUCCGUAGCCGACCUGAGAGGAUGAUCGGCCACACUGGAACUGAGACACGGUCCAGACUCCUACGGGAGGCAGCAGUAGGGAAUAUUGGACAAUGGGCGCAAGCCUGAUCCAGCCAUGCCGCGUGAGUGAAGAAGGCCUUCGGGUUGUAAAGCCCUUUUAUUAGGAAAGAAAAACAGCAGGAUUAUCCCUCGCUGUUCUGACGGUACCCAAAGAAUAAGCAACGGCUAACUUCGUG